rnacentral:rRNA from 1 species
CGAGUGAAGUGGGAAAAGCUCAACUUUGUAAUCUGGCUGUCUUUUGGCAGUCCGAGUUGUAGUCUAGAGAAACAACGUCCGCGCAGACCCUUAUAGAUUUCGGUUGGAAUGCCAAGUCAAAGAGGGUGAGAAUCCCGUAUUUGAUAAGGUGGUCUUGUGCAUUGUGAUGUGUUUUCAAAGAGUCGAGUUGUUUGGGAAUGCAGCUCAAAGUGGGUGGUAAAUUCCAUCUAAAGCUAAAUAUUGGCGAGAGACCGAUAGCGAACAAGUACCGUGAGGGAAAGAUGAAAAGCACUUUGGAAAGAGAAUGAAAUAGUACAUGAAAUUGCUGAAAGGGAAACGAUUGAAGUUAGACAUGCGCUUUGGGUAUUCAGCCUUGGCUUCGGUCUUGGUGCAUUUGCCCAAUUUUGCAGGCCAACAUCAGUUAUCUUUGCUGUAAAAGGGUUUAGGGAAUGUGGCUCUUUCGGGAGUGUUAUAGCCCUUUGCUGGAUGCAGAAUCGAUGACUGAGGAACGCAGUGCGCCUUUAUUGGCAAGGCUUUCGGGCUUCGAGCACUUAGG